rnacentral:misc_RNA from 1 species
AAAUGCGAUAAGUAAUGUGAAUUGCAGAAUUCAGUGAAUCAUCGAAUCUUUGAACGCACAUUGCGCCCGCCAGUAUUCUGGCGGGCAUGCCUGUCCGAGCGUCAUUUCAACCAUCAAGCCCCCGGGCUUGUGUUGGGGACCUGCGGCUGCCCGCAGGCCCUGAAAACCAGUGGCGGGCUCGCUGUCACACCGAGCGUAGUAGCAAUCACCUCGCUCAGGGCGUGCUGCGGGUUCCGGCCGUUAAACAGCCUUACAAAACCCAAGGUUGACCUCGGAUCAGGUUGGAAGACCCGCUGAACUUAAGC